rnacentral:rRNA from 1 species
AGCGGCAGGCUUAACACAUGCAAGUCGAGGGGCAGCACGGGUAGCAAUAUCUGGUGGCGACCGGCGCAAGGGUGCGUAACGCGUGAGCAACAUGCCCGUAUCAGGGGGAUAAUCCAGGGAAACUUGGUCUAAUACCCCAUAGCAAUUAAAGGAGGCAUCUUUUUUAAUUUAAAGCUUUGGUGGAUACGGAUUGGCUCGCGUGACAUUAGCUAGAUGGUAAGGUAACGGCUUACCAUAGCUACGAUGUCUAGGGGUUCUGAGAGGAAGAUCCCCCACACUGGAACUGAGACACGGUCCAGACUCCUACGGGAGGCAGCAGUGAGGAAUAUUGGACAAUGGAUGGAAAUCUGAUCCAGCCAUGCCGCGUGCAGGAAGACGGCCCUAUGGGUUGUAAACUGCUUUUAUAUGGGAGCAAUAAGGUCUAUGCGUAGACUGAUGAGAGUACCAUAUGAAUAAGCAUCGGCUAACUCCGUGCCAGCAGCCGCGGUAAUACGGGGGAUGCGAGCGUUAUCCGGAUUUAUUGGGUUUAAAGGGUGCGUAGGCGGUUUGAUAAGUCAGCGGUGAAAUAUUUCAGCUUAACUGGAAGGGUGCCGUUGAUACUGUCAGGCUUGAAUAUGGUUGCUGUGGGUGGAAUGUGUGGUGUAGCGGUGAAAUGCUUAGAUAUCACACAG